rnacentral:rRNA from 1 species
UACGUAGGGUGCAAGCGUUAAUCGGAAUUACUGGGCGUAAAGCGUGCGCAGGCGGUUAUGUAGGACAGGUGUGAAAUCCCCGGGCUUAACCUGGGAACUGCAUUUGUGACUGCAUAGCUAGAGUACGGUAGAGGGGGAUGGAAUUCCGCGUGUAGCAGUGAAAUGCGUAGAUAUGCGGAGGAACACCGAUGGCGAAGGCAAUCCCCUGGACCUGUACUGACGCUCAUGCACGAAAGCGUGGGGAGCAGACAGG